rnacentral:misc_RNA from 1 species
CGAAAAUACAACACUUGCAUAUUCGAUGCAUCUUUCAAAUUUCUCGUAGCGAUAAAAUAAAACAAAUCUUUUUGAGCGUUUCCAGUGCAAAACAAUUUUGUCAAAUUAGGCCAGAUGAUAUUUCUCCAUAGUUGUUCUAUUUGGCUGAUUCUUCUCUUCGCGUUAAACAUAGUGCAAAGUAAUUCUAUCCUCGACUAUCCUAUCUGUAACAAUGUAGCGGCAAUGGAGUGUCCUGAAACAUUAAUGAAACUUAACACACGUUGUCACCAUUCUCAAGUGCCCGUCCCUUUUGCAUUUACAUGUGGUGAUAUACCAGUAAACUACUGUCAUGAUGUGGAAAACUUGCUGGAACCCAACAUUUCAACUAAAGUUUAUUUGGAUGGCCAUCGAAUUUUCGACAGACGUUUGAAAGACGACUGCUGGAAUGUCACCACAACUUACAUCAAGUCUGGACAUUGGCAGAUCGAAUUGGACAGAAUAGAAAACGUAUAUGUCGUACUAAUCCGAUCACUUGGCUUAAAUAGAAAUGAGUCCAAUGGUUUUCAAGUUACCGUAUCACGACGCUUGUCAACUAACCGAUCAGAAUCUAUCAGAUGCCACGAUUCUGAGUACUUUGAUGGAUAUCAUACCUUUCUCUGUUACCAAUCAGGAGACAAAGCUUUAACGUCAAAUUAUCGACCAGGUUACGACGCAAAAUUUGUGGAUAUUUUUGGUGACAUUUACGUUGAUGAUUCGUGCGAUUUUUCAAAUAUCGUCAAAGUCUACUCUUACCCAAUCAGGGUGUGUGGUAUUCCGGAAGCCCAUCAGAAUCAAUCCAUUAUGCCAAAAGCACACUAUUACCUUGUAGGUCAAGAAGUGAUCUACAACUGUUCUGAUGAUGCUCACAUACUUAUCGGAGAUCCAAUUCGAAUUUGUCAGCAUAAUGGUUUAUGGAGUGGAAAAACUCCUUUAUGCAUCCAAGUUAACAAUGUCCAACCACAGACUCAAUUUGUCCGCUUCAUGGAAAACGCUGAAUUUUAUUGGCCGGCUAAAAGUCUUGCAAAAGCAACGCGUAUCGAUGAAAAUGAAAUGAUCACCUAUGGUUUCGAAACUGAAUAUUGCUUAAAAUAUAUCCUAUUGGAAUAUCAUUCAGAAUUGUCCGAAAGAACAGACAUAUUAAUUUAUACGACGUCGAUGGACGGAUAUCGGCACGUCUGGACAGCCAACGACACAUUUGGUGAUUACGCCAAUAAACAAUAUUUUCUACCUGGGAAUGAUCAAUCUUUCAUAUGUUGCCUUAAUGUGACAAUUCAAAGACAAAAAGAUAAACCGUCACAAGGCAUUUUAAAAAGAUCUGAAUUCGUUUAUCACAUUGAAGCAGUCGGUUAUCACCGUCGUAAUGGUGAUUGCCUAAAGCCUCAUCUCUUUCCCAAUGUGAAGUUUUCCAUCCAUCAAAACCAUACAGUUGAGAAUGGAGUGACUGUAAAACUGGAAUGUAACAAAGGCUUCCGUCAAAGAAACGAUGAUCCGCCUGAAAUUCAGUGCGAUAAUGGCUCAUGGAAAGGCAUCGUUCCCAUUUGUGACAUUGAAAAUUGUCCUCAACCCAAUGGCCGUCGUCAUUCUUCCUGGAAGUAUCUGGAAAACCAACAUUUAAAGUAUCAUCGCGCAGAGUAUGAGUGUCACUCGGGAUUUGAAUUGAAAGGUCAUAACACGUCUACGUGUAAUGAUGGCAAAUGGACCACCCCGCCACCAAAAUGCAAAGUUACUUUCUGUCCGAAUGUUGCAAUUCCGCCCAAUAUGUUUUGCAUGCUCAACCGUAGAAACGAGUUUUACGACGUAACAGGCAAUGGGACAUCGUUUCAUCAUGGUAUAAGCCUAGUGUGUUAUUGUCAACCUGGAUUUCGCGUCACAGGCAAUCGUACGAUUCAUUGUAGCAACCAACAAUGGACAUCAGAACUUCCAAAAUGCCAAGAGAUAUUAUGUGAGAAUCCACCAUUUUCCAUUCGAAGUGGUGGGAACCAGUCCCUCGUCGAGCAGCGUUACUGGAAAACUGGAUCACACAACUUUUCUUGUCCUGAAAAAAUGACAAUCAAAGGACUGCAUGGACGUACUUCAGUCGAGCUAACAUGUUGGGAAAAUGGCGAAUGGGAGGACACUGAGCUCUUUGAAUGUAUUGAACAAGGUUCCGUAAAAAGGUAAAGGAAACGAGGAAAGUCAACGAGAGUAAACGAAAUUUAACAAUUGCUGAAGACGUUGGUGAGGUUUCCAAGUUGAUCUACCCGACCUAUGAUCCACAAUGCACGGAAUCAAAUGAAAGCGAAAUAGAUGUAAUAACUUAAGGGAGGCCAUUAAAGGAUGGUCUCGUACACCCUUAACUGUCUAUCUCGUUUCAGUGACAAAAUUAUUACAUCUUCCAUUUACCAACAUGUAUAGUCGAACUUGUUUCGUCGUGUAUCAUGUAUUUGGUUAGGUUAGUGACUAUUAAAUAAUAUCUUCUUUUUA